ACACUCAAGGGCAGAGAGCGGGGCUGGGGAGUGUCUGUGUAAAUGCUUUGGAAUUCUUCUCAAAGGUAUUCGUCCCUUCACCCCCAAUCUGUGUAUUAAUUCAGUCAUUUCUUUAUGUCAGCGUGGACUUGGGUAGAUUUUUUUUUUUUUUUUCCUUUUUGAAAGCAUGACUCUAUUUAUUUGGACGUUAAGGAUGGUUACAGGAAAUGUGUGUAGGUACCAAAAUAAGAAGUUGACUGGUGGUAUUGGGCUGUGUCAACCUAGCUAGGUUUCCCAGAGCCCAGGUAGAUGUAUUUUUUUCAAUCUUUUUAGUACCGCACCCACGGCACACAGAAGUUCCCAGGCUAGGGGUCAAAUUGGAGCUGCAGGCCUACACCACAGCUUAGGACAACACCAGAUUCUUAACCCAUCAAUCGAGGCCAGAGAUUGAACCCACGUCCUCACGGAUAGUAGUGGGGUUCGUUACUGCCGAACCACAGUGGGAACUCCUGCAAUUACUCUUGUAUCCAGCUAUCCGAAUCUGUACUAAGCUAAACGCACAUGCAUCCUGAUGCCUCUGCCUCUAACCCCGCCUUGCCCCUUGGGCAUCUGUAACAUCCCUCCAACAGGGGAAACCCGGCCCCUGCCAUCCACCAUCCAUUCCUUAUUUCACGGACACCAGGGCACAUGCAAAGCUGUUCAGAGCAGUGAACCUGUGCCCUUACUGAACAUGCCCGCCUAGGCUUUGGAAGCCCACAAUUCAUAUAUUAAUAAAAACAAGGGUAAAGGCACAAGAAAGAAUCAGGAUUCGAAAAGACAUCCGUCAGCUAGCAUAAGCUAUCCUGGUGAAAUAGGAGUUAAGAGGAUGCACCAGAUUUGGAAGCAGAGAAGAAUCGGGACCAGGCUUACGGCACCUCCGCAGUUGAGAGGGGAAGAGGUGGAUGUAUUUGGUUGGCCACAGCUCAGGGUGUGAUCACGCUGCUAAACAAAACCCAUGGCAAGACUCGGCACUGAUGAAAUAGACUGUUCCAGCCAAGGCAGGAGAACGCCCCUGGUCCCUGUGCAGGUCAAGCACCAUCUCCACACACAGGCAUUUAUAUCCACCCUUUAAAAGAGCGCACAGGACAGGGAGCAGAGCCGUGCCGGAGGGGUGGGGUGAUGCUCCUGAAAUACCAGCAGGGAUUAGAUGUACCCGAUGCUGCUCCAGAGGACAGAGCUAAGACCUGCAAGGCCAAGGCUCAUUCCCAAACUGACGGGGCCCAACACUGGUGGGGCGAGCCAUCACCCCGGCUACUCCUGACUUGGGGGGGCAGCAAACUCAACACCUUCAAGAUCUAGGAGCCGGGGUGGUGGGGCGGUCGAUGCCAGAGGAGGUGUCCUAGAGAAAGUGUCAAGAAAAAGCCGGGGGGAAACUCCAGCUGGGUUGUCAAUGGCAAAGCUUCGGUGAAAAGUGAAAAUAGGACGAGGGGUCAAAAUGAGGCAGGUCAGGGGAGGGGACGGCCAUGGUCAAGGAGCAGGGCAGGGAAAGACCCAAGUCUGCUUGAAGGUCACGGAGCAACACGGACCCAGGAAGGGCAGUAGGAUAAGGCAGAGUUGGCUUGAUCAGAGGGGAAACUUUCUAACAACCCGAGCUGUCCAAAAAUAAAACGCAGUCCCUAUCAAGAAAGAGAUGCAGUCAGUCAGGCAACAUGAGGGGGCAUGGCUGCCAGCGACAACUGUUGCAGACACAUGGCCAUCACCGGGGGUUAACAGAUGCUGGGAAGAGAGGCCCGGGUUCCAUCGCACUGGGAGGCCGCCUGGACCAGAGUGAGCUUGCAGGGUCCCCGAGGGGUUAAGCAACACAAGUCAGAGGCCCCAGGAGCCUGGGAUGAAAGGCACGUUUGGGGCUCAGGGCACGGGAAACAUGUGUGAUUGAUGUGGCCUUGGGUGUGGUUUUACUCUUUUUUUAACAUACCUAUCUUUGAUUUAAAAAAGUAGAAUUCAUACUAAGUGGAGUAAGUCAGAAAGAGAAAGACAAAUACCCAUAUGAUAUCACUUCUAUGUGGAAUCUAAUAUAUGGCACAGAUGAACCUUUCCACAGAACAGAAACAGACUCGCAGACAUGGAGAGCAGACUUGUAGUUGCCAAGGCAGGAGCGGAGUGGAAUGGACUGGGAAUAUGGGGCGAUGUUCUCAACGUGGCUCAGUGGAAAUGAACCCAACCAGUAUCCAUGAGGAUGCAGGUUCAAUUCCUGGCCUUGCUCAGUGGGUUAGGGAUCUGGCAUUGCCAUGAGCUGUGGUGUACGUUGCGAUGUGGCUUGGAUCUGGCAUUGCUGUGGCUGAGGCAUCGUCUGGCAGCUGUGGCUCUGAUUUGACCUCUAGCCUGGGAAC
rnacentral:lncRNA from 9 species